CGCUCCCACUCUAGUCCACCGUGGAGUCUCGCCCGCGCGUGUUGUGUUUCUCUCUCUCUCUCCUGUCAUUCCGCUGCAUUCCAACGGAGCAUCCGUCUCUCUCGAACCUGCUGGAUAUCCACCCGCUCCACGGUCGGAUCAAAAUUGUGUCAACAUCAAAUAUUGAAGGGAAGUGGCACUCAAUCAACGAGUUCUAGAGACCAGCCAUUAUGGACCCGAUUCAACUAGUCAGCCAAAGGGACUUGCAAAAGACGUAUCGGUGGUCCAAGGACAAGGGAAAUCGAUCGAAAUUGGCAUAAGACGCCAUCCUGUCUCGCGCAAAUUACAUCUGUCAAGGAAAUCAUGCGUAAUGGACGCAUACAUACACACGUGCCUGUUAUCGAUGCGCCAGAGGGUGGAGACAACAGUACGAUGGCGCAGGAGAGACAGAGAAAGAGAGAGAGAGAGAGAUUCGACGUAUCCGUUAUUCCGCACGGCUUAAUGCACGCUCGAGGACCGGGAGAAUGCAGGAACCGGGGUAUAUACGCGUCCAAAGGCGGUGUGAGACCCGCUUUCCCGCUGACCAUUGGGGGUAAUUAUCGUGGCUCCGGGGAAAGCUCUCUCACGCUCAAAUCCCUUCCGGCUAGCCAGCUCUAGCGCGGUGGCUCGCUGGUGCACGUCAACUCUCGACCCCUUUAAAAAGGUCGGCAUCGCCGUGCAUAACGCCGCGCCGAGGCGGCAAUAACCGGGAGCAGGCAAGCCGUCGUUAUUAACGGUAAACAGACGAGACGUUGAUAAGAUGGAAACUAAUUAAAUCGUGAAGGAUGUUGGCGAUGUUUAAAAUUCAUGUAGCUAUUGACCUUAGAGAGGAGUGAUUACUAGUGUCAAGAGCAACUAUAUGGACGAGAUAUAUAAAAUACGAGCACGUACGUCGUGAUGACUUUGUACAGGCGCAUGACUGGGCAUAAUAAAAUCUAUAUGUAUGUAUAUUAUAUAAAAUUUA